rnacentral:lncRNA from 1 species
UAGUCUUCAGGGUGGUAGUAGUCUUCAGGGUGGUAGUAGUCUUCAGGGUGGUAGUAGUCUUCAGGGUGGUAGUAGUCCUGGGGGUGGUAGUAGUCUUUAGGGUGGUAGUAGUCUUCAGGGUGGUAGUAGUCUUUAGGGUGGUAGUAGUCUAGGGCGGUAGUAGUCUUUAGGGUGGUAGUAGUCUUCAGAGUGGUAGUAGUCUAGGGUGGUAGUAGUCUUUAGGGUGGUAGUAGUCUAGGGCGGUAGUAGUCCUGGGGGUGUUAGUAUUCUUUAGGGUGGUAGUAGUCUUGGGGUGGUAGUAGUCCUGGGGGUGGUAGUAGUCUUUAGGGUGGUAGUAGUCUUUAGGGUGGUAGUAGUCUUUAGGGUGGUAGUAGUCUAGGGUGUUAGUAGUCUUUAGGGUGGUAGUAGUCUUCAGAGUGGUAGUAGUCUAGGGUGGUAGUAGUCUUUAGGGUGGUAGUAGUCUUGGGGUGGUAGUAGUCCUGGGGGUGGUAGUAGUCUUGGGGGUGGUAGUAGUCUUGGGGGUGGUAGUAGUCUUGGGGGUGGUAGUAGUCCUGGGGGUGGUAGUAGUCUUGGGGGUGGUAGUAGUCUUCAGGGUGGUAGUAGUCUUCAGGGUGGUAGUUGUCUUCAGGGUGAUAGGAGUCUUUAGGGUGGUAGGAGUCUUCAGGGUGGUAGUAGUCUUCAGGGUGGUAGCAGUCUUGGGGGUGGUAGUAGUCUUUGGUGUGUUAGUAGUCUUGGGGGUGGUAGUAGUCCUGGGGGUGGUAGUAGUCUUGGGGGUGGUAGUAGUCUUGGGGGUGGUAGUAGUCCUGAGGGUGGUAGUAGUCUUGGGGGUGGUAGUAGUCUUGGGGGUGGUAGUAGUCUAGGGCGGUAGUAGUCUUUAGGGUGGUAGUAGUCUUUAGGGUGGUAGUAGUCUUCAGAGUGGUAGUAGUCUAGGGUGGUAGUAGUCUUUAGGGUGGUAGUAGUCUAGGGCGGUAGUAGUCCUGGGGGUGUUAGUAUUCUUUAGGGUGGUAGUAGUCUGGGGUGGUAGUAGUCUUUAGGGUGGUAGUAGUCUUUAGGGUGGUAGUAGUCUAGGGUGGUAGUAGUCUUUAGGGUGGUAGUAGUCUAGGGUGGUAGUAGUCUUUAGCGUGGUAGUAGUCUUCAGAGUGGUAGUAGUCUAGGGUGGUAGUAGUCUUUAGGGUGGUAGUAGUCUUGAGGGUGGUAGUAGUCUUCAGAGUGGUAGUAGUCUAGGGUGGUAGUAGUCUUUAGGGUGGUAGUUGUCUAGGGCGGUAGUAGUCCUGGGGGUGUUAGUAUUUUUUAGGGUGGUAGUAGUCUUGGGGUGGUGGUAGUCCUGGUGGUGGUAGUAGUCUUUAG